rnacentral:rRNA from 1 species
ACAAGCCUGAGAAACGGCUAGUAGGACUAAGGUCUGCAGCAGGCGCGAAACUUACACAAUGCUAGAUUACAAUUAGCGAUGUAGUGAAGAAAAAUAACGAUGUACUUCCAUUUAAACAUGGUAGUACAAUUGGAAUGAGACGACUAUAAAUGAGUUAGUCGAGUAACAAAUGGAGGGCAAGUCUGGUGCCAGCAGCCGCGGUAAUUCCAGCUCCAUUAGCAUACAUUAAAGUUGUUGCGGUUAAAAAGCUCGUAGUUGAAUUUUAGGCGGGCUCUAUUGGGCGGCAUCCGUUAAGGUUUUCCUGAAGUAAGCCUGUUUCUUAAUUGAUCAGUAGCUGUCUGGUUAAAACUGGUUGUUUUGCCCUGAUAGGAACCCGCUGUUUCGUCACUUAAUCGAGUGCGAAGCGGGCUGGAACGAUGAGUUCGGUCCUCUUCGGAGGCAACCGUUCAUGUUACAGCAUGUUUACCUUGAGAAAAUUAGAGUGCUCACAGCAGGCAGUUGGGGUGUAAAAGCUCCUUUAUGCUUGAAUAAUGUUGCAUGGAAUAAUAGAAUACGGCCUCGGUUCUAUUCUGUUGGUCUUAUAGAACAACAAACAAGUUGGUUAAAGCGAUCAAAAGUCUCUUUGUGAGCGUGGCUUUGAGGGUGUUGUUUGGUUAGGAAUAAACUAGCCGUUACUCAUACGUGUCUCUAGUCUCUGUUGUCUGGGGCCUUAAAAUCUCAAUACAAGGAUGGUCAUGUUGGGGCGGUUUAUGUGUCUUUUUGGCUAACUUCAUACUCCUUGCUAUUUAACGCCUUCUUUAGUGGCUAGCUUUUCAAUCAACUGAGGCAAUGGUUAAAAGAAAUAGUCGCGGCGGCAUCAGUACUGCAUCGUGAGAG